rnacentral:rRNA from 1 species
UCAUAGCGACUAUCGUGGCAUAUCAAUAAGCGGAGGAAAAGAAACUAACAAGGAUUCCCCUAGUAACGGCGAGUGAAGCGGGAAGAGCUCAAAUUUGAAAUCUUCAAGGGUCCUACCUUGACGAAUUGUAGUUUAAAGAAGUGUUUUCUGUUGGAGUUUCGGUAAAAGUUCUUUGGAAUAGGACAUCAGUAGAGGGUGAGAAUCCCGUAUUUGACCGUUACUUUCCAGCUGUGUGAUACACUUUCAAAGAGUCGGAUUGUUUGGGAAUGCAGUCCAAAGAUGGGUGGUAAAUUUCAUCUAAAGCUAAAUAUUGGCGAGAGACCGAUAGCGAACAAGUACCGUGAGGGAAAGAUGAAAAGAACUUUGAAAAGAGAGUUAAACAGUACGUGAAAUUGUCAAAAGGGAAGCGUUUGACACCAGUGUUGUUUCGUCGAAAAUCAAUUAAAAAUGGCUUGAUUUUGUGUUGUAUUGACUUUAUCGGCUUUCUGCACUUUUUUCAUGUCUUUUUUAAUGCACUUUUCGUUUAACAAGUCAACAUCAAUUUCUUUUGUUGUAAAAGGGUAAGAGGAAGGUGGCUUACGCUUCGGCGUAAGUGUUUAUAGCCUUUUACCUCUGCAAUCGGAGAGAUUGAGGACAGCAGCGUAGACUCUUCGGGGUUAGAUACACUUGUGCUAAGCUAUAGCCUUGUAUAGACAACUUGUUGACUAUGCUCAGUCAUGUAGCUUACUCGCUUGUGCUAUUUUACCUACGCUUAGGAUGUUGACGCGCGUGUGUGCGUG